GACGAACCGUACGAACGUUAUUCGGAAUUACUGGGCUUAAAGGGUGCGUAGGCUGUGCGGAAAGUUGGGCGUGAAAUACCUCAGCUUAACUGAGGAACUGCGUUCAAAACUACCGUGCUUGAGGGAGACAGAGGUAAGCGGAACUGAGGGUGGAGCGGUGAAAUGCGUUGAUAUCCUCGGGAACACCGGUGGCGAAAGCGGCUUACUGGGUCUCUUCUGACGCUGAUGCACGAAAGCUAGGGUAGCAAACGGG
rnacentral:rRNA from 1 species